rfam:Chlorocebus sabaeus isolate 1994-021 chromosome 21, whole genome shotgun sequence.
GCCGGGCGCUGUGGCACAUUCCUGUAAUCCCAGCUACUCAGGAGACUGAAGCAGGAGAAUUCCUGAACCCAAGAGGCGGAGGUUGCAGUGAGCCAAGAUCGCACCAUUGCACUCCAGCCUGGGCAACAAGAGUGAANNNNNNNNNNUUCACUCUUGUUGCCCAGGCUGGAGUGCAAUGGUGCGAUCUUGGCUCACUGCAACCUCCGCCUCUUGGGUUCAGGAAUUCUCCUGCUUCAG